UCUUGUCUGUGGUGUCAACUGACCUACUAAGUAUAUCUCUUAUCUAUGAAAUCAGCUCGUCCAUCGCCAUUUUGGAAUUGUGCUCAUUUACCGUCCUGUUUCCAGAUUGAGCAGUGAAUGAAAGCGUAUUGAAGAUUAUUUCGUUACUACAGGAAUAUCGACAAAUGGGAUGGUGUGCAAUGAUGCCGUUCUUGCUGCACUUCCUUAGUUUUUGUCUUCUUUAUCUUGAAACAUUCUAUGACUUUUUAAGGAACAUUAUAACAAGCUGUAGGCCUCUAUAUUGUGGAGCACAGAUUGUAGCAGUCAUUUUUAUCCCAGAAUGAACAGAGCAAUGAAGAUACUAUUCUCAUCUUCACCUUUCAACAUUAUGUAACUGAUUUUCAACGGAUGAAUGCGAGAAACUGGAGAUUUAUUUGAACUUUACUGAAAGGACAGAUCUUCUGCUGUGAUAUUCAUCCUGGAUUUGAUUUGCUUUUCACUGCAGUCUGCAGUUAGUUAAGGUGAAUAUGUUUGAUAUUAUAAUUAAUUUCAGUUGCUCUUUAUUAAUCUGUUACCACCGUAUCUGUUUCAGAUCGACGAGGGAGAAGACAAAGAAGAUCCUGUAGUUAAAAUACUUUUGUAUCUUGCAUGUUCUACUAGACACAAUUAGAAUUAAUUUUUUAUUUUGCAUGGUUUUUGUAGUUUAUUUUAUUUGAAGUAAUUGUUGAUUGUAGAUGU
rnacentral:lncRNA from 1 species